rnacentral:tRNA from 1 species
GCGGAUGUAGCUCAGUUGGUUAGAGCGCCUGGUUGUGGUUCAGGAGGUCGUGGGUUCGAUUCCCAUCAUUCGCCCCA